rnacentral:lncRNA from 1 species
GUGAGUAUGGAGCCAUCAGAAUGAGGCUUAAAGCCGAGAACUUACUCUGGUUGCGGACAAGGAGGAUAAUAAUUCAUCCUUAAUGAUUGCAUCCCGUUUUCAAACAGCUCUUUCAUGUCAUUGGGAUCCAUUCUUAGAGCUUUAGCCAUUAGGUCAAGGAUUUUCAAGGUAAGAUUUUUAAGUUCCGUUAAGUAAACUUCCAAGUCAUCUCCGCAUGCAAAUAAUAAUAUAUAGUCCAGUAAUUAUCAUAAGAUAGAAUAUACUAUAUAAGAAAAGUCUAAAAUUUAAGUAUAGAACCUGAAUGGAAGAGGCAACUUGGGGAACAAGUGGGGUUUCCUCAGAUGGGUUGGGAGAGUGAACAUAGUAAAGCCGUAUCCCCAAUCAAGCUUCUGCUCUUCAGACGUAAUAAAAAGCUGCCCAAAUCCCUCAACAUCUCCUGGCUGCUGCCAAAACUUCUUUUUCUCAUCAAUUGGAAGAUUAAAGAAUUCUUGAAUCUCUGCUUUCACUUUCUCCACCAAUGAACUGCUCACUCCAUGAUUCAUCAACCGCAUAUAUGCAAAUUAAAGCAAGAUGUUCUUUCCAUAUAUACAUGGUUCAUAAAGGAAAUUUUGAAGUUCUGGAAACAAAAUGAUUUUUAUGGAAAAUGCUAAAGAAACGGAGAGCUGAUAAAAUGCUGACAAAAACAACGAUAAAUUAGUCUGUUUAAUGGGUUUACAAUCAAGUGACUAAUCCGGUACUGAUUUACUUUGUUUUUUGUAAACGUUUUGUCUAAUUUUUAUUAUCUGAAUAUCACUGCUAAAUUGUUAUGUACCUGAAAGAAACCCCAGUCUUUACAUGCAUGGUUCAUAUAGGGAACUUAAAGCUCAGGAAGUAAAAUUAUUUUUAUGGAAAAUGUAAAAACACUGAGACCUGAAAAAACGCUAACAAAAGCAAUGAUUUGCAAUCAAUUAAGUAUUUUUAUUAUAUGAAUAUCACUGCUCAAUUAUUAUGUACCUGAAAGAAACCCCACUCUUUACAUGCAUGGUCAAGCUUCUCAAGCUCUGAGUCAUCCCCAGAGAGCAACGUGUGCAUGUCAAUGACUGGAAGUUGUUGUGCUGAAGAAUCGUCGUUGCGAAUCAAGGGAUGGUCUAUCUCAGGGAGAACAUAACGUGGCGGAACAGUUGUCAGUGGCAGAUUAUUUGCCAGCUCCAGAAUCGAAGGCUCCACGAGAGAAUUCCCAAUAACUGUUGCUUUUGCCUCCAUGUUAUAUAGAUUUAGAUUAACUGAUUUCUAGCUAUUACCUUUUUGUUUUCUUCUACUCUUCUGCAGACUUAGCUAGUAUGUGUUUUGACAAGAAACUCAUAUAUAAAUAGUCCUCUAGAUGUACUGUACUGUAACUGGGUGCAGUGAAAUAUUAAUUUUAUCAUGAAAAUUCGAGAGAAUUUUGACUUUUAUUAAAGGACACAAAUCAGUGCAACAUUAACACGAUAAAAUUAAUUUUAUAAUGGAAUUAUUUACACUCUACAUUUAAUUUUGAAUAUCAUUUGAUUUUUUACACUCUAAAUUUAAUUUUGAAUAUCAUUUGAUUUUUUACACUCAGUUAAUAAAUUUUAAAAAUUAAUUUUUAUUCUAUACGUUCUUUUAUAUACCAAAACAGUCUUUUAUUUAUAUAUGAUUAUUAUCUCACCCAAUUUAAUUCUUUAUCAAAGAACUUCAUUCUAAAUAAGUCUAUUAUUGUUAACAAGAUAUUUAAGUCUCUGUUUAACAAAAUAUCACUGUGAUGUCUUUAAAUGAAAUAAUAUAUAUAUAUAUUUUUUUUUAAAAGAGAAUUUUCUCUUAUCUUUACUAGAGAGUUAUAUAUUAGAAUCCAAUUCAUGUUCUUCAUUGAUAAUCUUCAAGCAAUAGUAAUAAGCAACUGAUUUGUUUUUCUUUUUCAUUUUUUUUAAUCGGAACUUACAGUUUUAUUUUUUAUUUUUUAAAACAAAAUAAUGUUACUCGUAAAUUUCUAUUUUUUUUUUUAUUCAGCUUCUAUAGUUGGUAGCUUGUUGGGUAUUUAUGAAACUUCUAAUAUUUUAUGAGGUGUAACUGUAAUUGGAUUACUGGGUUGAGCGUGUGUUAGAUGGUGUUAAGAGUAAUAAUAUUCUAUUAACUUGAAUUGACUUGUUCUUAUUAGUAAAUUAUAUUAGGGUAACUUUUGCAAUAAUAUUUUUAUUAAAAAUUAAAGUGUUGAGAAUAAAAUUUAAAGUAUAGUGUUUAAAUUUCAUUUGUCACUGUCAACGCUCCUCUAACUAAAGCUCAGAUGAGAUCAGAAUGCGAAAGGAUUGUUAUCGACUUCGUUAGUAUUCGUAUCCACUUAGUAUUCGUAUCUUUUGCAAUAACGUUCCACCCAUAAUGUUUUGUUCAUUGAACAAUAACACUAUGGCAGACCAAAAUGGUAUGUACUGUUUGUUUGCACGCAGUACUAUCACUUCAGUCAUAUCUUAAUGUCACUAUAGUGUUUAAAUAUCAUUUGUCUCUGUCAACGCUCCCCUAACUAAAGCUCAGAUAAGAUCAGAAUGCCAAAGGAUUGUUAUCGACUUGGUUAGUAUUCGUAUCCAUCUCUUCUCGCAUUUGCGUGAUUAAUUUUUGAAUUGGUACUAAUACGACUAAAUUGGCAUUUUGAAUGAUGAAACCAGGCUGGCCACACAAAAUUGUGUACCCUAAUUAUUGAAUUGAGCAUACAGUAGUAAAAUAGAUACAGACAGGCAUACAACAAUGACAAAAUGGACAACUAUCGCUAUCAAGUUCACGUCCCCAAUCUUGAAAUUACGAAAUUUUUGGGAUUUUUUUUUUGUUGAUCGGUCCUUGUCGUUGGUAGAAAUUACGAAAUUUAAGGGGCACCCUGACUUUUUAAAAUAAUUUACAUUUGUUUUUGUUUCAUCUUGACUAAGGACUCAUUUAAGAUUUACUAUUGAGACUCUAAAGUCACUUAUAAAAGUUAAAAUUUAAUUUUGAUAAUUUUUUUAAAUCAAAAUUUUAAUUUUGAUAAUUUUUUAACUCAAAAAUUUAAUUUUGAUAAUUUUUUUUUUAAAUCACCACAAAUUUUGAAUUUAAGAAUCAAUUUUAUACUUAACAUAAUUUCGCAUAUAUUGUUACACAUUUUCAUAAAACAAAAUUAUUUUUAAUUAGUUAACAAAUAAAAUUAGAAAAUUUAAGAUCGUUAUUAUUUUGAUUUUCUUUUUUUUUUCUUCGUGCACGCUCUUUACCCCAAUUCUUCUUCUUUCUAUUUUCCAUUCCAUCAAGAAUUCUGUAAUAAUGUAAAUAUUAUUGUUUCAAGAUCAACACUUAGGUUAAUAUGUGUUUUUAAAUAUUUAAUAAAAUUUAAGGUGAAUUAUAUACGCACAUUCCAAUCUAAAACAUGGAUUUAUUAAAGUUCGGAAAAGUUAUCAAGCCAUAUAGCUUAAUAGCUUUUUGGACUUCAAUAAUGUGUGAUAAUUAGUUAUAUGAGAAUCCUAUUACUCUAUUACUUCUUUCCCUCUGCCACUUGUACCAGAAUUUUCUAAUAGAGACUGCUUAUUGCACCUAAAUGACUAACUGGUGCUGACUUAAUAAUAUAUGCCCCGUUUGGAAUUGAGGUUGAAACUCAAUAAGCAACUUAUUUUGUAAUUUGUGACAAAAAUAAUGUUUGGUAAAUUUUGUAAAAGUUGCUUAUUUAAUCAUUUUCUCCAUUUUGACAACAACUUUUAAAAGUAAGUAGAGAGUUACUUUUCAUAAGCAGCUUAUUAAAUAAACUAUCAUACCUUUUUAAAGUUCCUAUUAUAGCCUUAAUAUUUUAAUUAAAAAAAUAAUUGUCUUACUUUCUCAUACACCAUAAUAUUAAACCAUUAGAUAUCACAUUACCACCACAAUCAAAUUACCGACACAACUAUUAUAUAUUCUCUCUAGUAUUAAAGUUUUGACCUAGUAAGUUUGUAUUUUUUUUUAUAUUUUACUUUUAUUUUCUAUUAUAAGAUUAAAAAACGUAUGUAUAUAAUUAUGCAAAUUAUUUUUUUUAACUUUGAACAAUUUCACAUGAAAAUUAACCAUAACUUUUAAAAUUAAUUUUAUAACCAUGGUUUUUAAUAUUCAAUCUCUCUCUCUCUCUCUCUCUCUCUCUCUCUCUCUCUCUCUCUCUCUCUCUCUCUCUAUAUAUAUAUAUAUAUAUAUAUAUAUAUAUAUAUAUAUAUAUUAUAGUUAUGGUGUUUAUUGCAUCAAGUUUAAUACGAAUGUAAUACAUACUACUUUUUUAUUUUAUCUUAGUUAUGUAUUAGUAUGAAUUUUAAUCAUAUUUUUUAUAUAACAAAUUUAUAGAGUUCUUUUUUCACUUUAUGCAAUUUUACUUGUUUUAAAGAGAAAAAGGCAUGUCUAAACAUUAUUAAAUAUACUUAAAAAAGAAGAAGAUAAUUUAAAGUUAUAUCUAUUUUCACAACAAGAAAACAGGUAAUAGAUGACGGGAAAUAACUAUUGUAAAAGGGAGUGCAUGACAGACAGUUCAUCUGUCAUCUAUUUCACUGUCAUUAAUUUAUGACAAAAUAUUUUCCAUCAUGAAUUCAUGAUAGUAUUUUACAGUUAUAUAUACGUCACACAAUAUCUUAAUGUGAAAAAUAAUUAAAUUAAAAUUUGAAUUUAUAUAUAUUUUUGCGCUAUUUUUUUAAAUUUUUGGUGGGAAAUUAAAUUAUCAUUUGUAAAUUUAUUAUUGAAUUUUGGCUCAAAAUGUUUUAUGACAAACAUUAUGAUCAUUAUUUCCCAUCAUAAAGUCAAUUUUUUUUAAAAAAAAUUCUAUUGUGAUUAUAAUUUAUUUGUGAAUUCCUGAUUACAAAUUUAAUUAACUAAUAAAAAUGAAUAUCAUCAAAAAAACUAAAAGUAAUUAAUAUUAAUUAACCUCCAUUCAAUCCAACAAAUUAAUUUCAAAACAAAUACAUCUAGUAUUCAAUGUCGUCACCACCAAUACAUAAUAAAACAUCCCAAAUAUAAAAAAAUCUAAAAUAUAAAACAAUAGUUAAAUCCCAAUUAAACUCUAAGAAAAGCAAUUCAAAUUCUAGCCAUCAAGCCAAGUUACCCAACAAAACUUCGAAAGAUUAAUGGAAAUAUUCUAACAGUAAGACUUCCAAUAGAGAUACCAUCUUCCAGCGGCAAUAGAUAAGAAAUUUUACUACAUAUUAAGUAUUUAACAUACAUUCAAUUUGAAUUUAAAAAAAAAAUCUUUUAUUAAUAGAUAACAACUUUUUUUAUGUAUAAAUAUUAUGCUAAAUUGUAAAAAUUAAUGUUACCAAAAUUAUUUUUCAUAAAUUAUAUAUCAAUUAUUUUUCUUGUAAAUAUUUAUAACAUAUAAAAACUAUUGUACUAGAAAACACUAUGAAUACAUAUCUAUUUAAGCUAGUCAUAAGUGUAAAAAUACAAACAACUUACCACUUACACUCAGAUGCCAAAAAAUAAAAACCAAACAUAUUAUUCUAUCUUAAGCAUUCAAAGCCAUUCAAACUUCAGUAACAUUCAAACCUAUUUCAAAUUUAAAAUAAAAAGACAAACCAUGACUUAAUAUGGGGCUAUUUGAAAUCUAGAUUUUACAGUAUCACUUUAUUCUAUACACUCGUUCUCUCAUUUAAUAAAUUUAAAAAAUUGAUUUUAUUGAGCACAUUCUUUUAAAUACCAAAAUAGUCCUCCAUUUAUAUCUUACGUCUCACCCAAUUUAAUUCUUUGUUGACUAAAGAACUUUUUUCUAUGUAAUUCUAUUAUUGUUAAUGAUAUUCAAAUCUCUUGAAAAAAAAAAAUGACCCUCAUCUCUUUGAAUGAAAUAAACUUCCGUCAAAAGAGAAAUGUCUCUUAAUUUUACCAGAGAGUUAUAGACUGGAGUCAAGUUUGUAUUUCCAAUUGAUAAUUUUGAAGCAGCAGCAAUAUGCAGCUGAUUUCUUAUUAUUUUUCCUUUUUCUUUUUGGGGUUUUGCAACGUACAGUUUUAUUUUUAAUUUUUUAAAUCAAAAUAAUGUUUCUCAUUUUUUCGCAUAAAUAAAAAUUGUUUUUCAAUUGCUGUUGUUGGUAGCAUGUUGGUUAUUUAUUAAACCCUUAAUAUUUUCUUUUACGAAUGAUAAAUUAGAUUUAUUGUUAAAGAAAGUUACAGGGUUUUGUAAUUGGAUUAUUGAAUUGAAUGUGCGUUCAAUGGUGUGAAGAGUAAUCAUAUUCCAUUAACUUAAAUUGAAUUGUCUUUAUUAGUAAAUGAUAUUGGAGGAGUUUUUGUAAUAAUAUUUUUAUUAAAAAUUACAGUCUUUAAAAUAAAAUUUAGGGUACAAACAACAUCACUCUAUAAUAUUAUUAUUCAAUAAAUCAUAAUUUUGCGGCACACUAAAAUGAUGCGGAUCAUUUACGCAACCUACCAUCACUUGUAUUAUAUCCUAAUGCCAUUAUAGUGUUCAAAUAUCAUUUGUCUAUCCCAAACGUUCGUUCAAUUAAAGCUAAGGUAAGCUAAGAUUUCACAGUAGAAUAGUAUUCUUAUCCAUGUAGUGUCACAUUGUGUGCUUUAUCUUUAGAUUGGUACUAAUCCCACAAAACUGGCAUUUUGAAAUAUAAAACCAGGCUGACCACACAAACUUGUGUACACAAUUUUUUGUUUUUUUUUUCAAGUGUUACGUCGUAAAAUCGUAAAUUAAAUAUAGACAAAUAUACAACAAUGACAAUGCCUGUCAAGUUCGCGUGCCCAAUCAUAGAAGUUACGAAACUAUUGGGAUAUUUCAUAGUUGAUCGGUCCGCAUCGUUGGUAGAAAUCACGAAUUUUAGAAGGGGACCGUGACUUUUUAAACUGCAUUAUAAUUUAAGUCCUUUAAAUUUAAAUUCAUUUUCGUUUUAUCCUGGUAAUUGAAUAAGGGCUCAUUUAAGAUUACUAUUUUACUCAAAAGUAAUUUUAAAAUAUUAAAAUUUAAUUUUGUUUGGUAAUUUUCUUAAAAUUAUUGAUAACUUUAAUUUUGAGAACAAAUUUUAUACUUAAAUAAUUUUAAAUAUAUUAUUACAUAAAACAAAAAUUAUCCUUAAUUAAUUAAGAAAUAAAAUAAAAAAAAUUCAAGACCACUAUUAUUUUUAUUCGUUUUUUUUUCUUUAUGCACGAUCUCUACCCCAAUUCUUCUUCUUUUGUUUUUAUAUUCCAUCAAUAAUUCUCCAAUACUGCAAAUAUCAUUGCUGCAAGAUCAACACUUAGGUGGCGUUUGUUUUUUUGUCUGAAAUCUGAAUAGAUCUGAAUUAGUCUGAAUGUCUGAAUAUGAAUAAUAUGUUUGUUUUUUUGUCUGAAUCUCAAAAAAUAAGUAUUAAGUUGUUUGUUUUUUUCAACUUAAAAAGCUGAAAAUAUGUACUUUUACAUUUGUAUCCUUAUUAAAUUUGAAUGUCAAAUAAAUAAUAUAUUAAAUACCACAAUAUUUUAACAUUUAUAAGUAAAACUAUAUUCAAGUGAAUACAUAAUUAUUUUAGAAUUUUAAUAUAUAAAAUACCAUAAAUUUCAAAUUUUAUCGUAUAUAAUAUAAGAAAGAAAAAACAGAGAUAUUUUUAUGUGGGGUAAAUAUCUAUGGGUGAGUUUUGGGAUAGACGUGAAAAAUAAAUUAUAAAACAAGGAUAUUUUUUACAUUAGCAAGUAAUUGACUUAAUUCAAAUUUCUCCAUUAAGUAAAAACCCAAAAAAAUUAGCUUAUUUUAUUAAGUCAAAAUUAUCUAAAAAGUCUCAUUAAGUUAUAAAAACAAACACAUCUAAUUAACUUAAUUAAUUAAGUUAAGUCACUUUAAGUCAUUAAGUUAAAAAACAAACGCCACCUUAGUAUAUGUUUCACGACUUUAUUUUUUAAUUUAUCAAUAUUCAAUAAAAUUUAUUCUCAGGUGCAGACGCCCGCAUUUUUAUUAAUGCGGCCACAAUUUUAAACUGUGUGAUUUAAAAAAAAAAUAGUUUGUGAAUGAACUAUAAAACUGUGAGUUUUAAAAGAUUUAAAAACUAAUUCUUUUAAACCCUGUGGUUUUAAAGUGUAUCCGCAUGGAAAUUUCAUAAGACUUGGUGCUAGACCCAAUUCUCCAUCUAAUUUUAGGUUGUAAAAUGUAGUGAAAGAUAACCUUUCCUUCAUUAAGUUUACAGUCACACGAUGUUCAAUAUCACGAUAAGUUCCAUUGCUAAAAAUCUACAGGAUCAUAAAUUGAACCUAAAAAAAAAAAAAGUUAGAGAGUAUAAUCAAGAGGAGGAAAAAAUUAGAUGAAACUAGUCAUCAACUACAUAUCCUAUGCUAACAGCUUAGUUUUUAUUGCAAGCGACGUGUCACCAAUUAUUUCUUAUUAUAGAUUUGCUGUUAGUAGACUUUAUUUUCUAUUAUUAAUACAAAUUAUACAAAGAUUCUACUCUACUUACCAAUAAAAGACAUGUUAGAUGUCACUUAACAUUACUAGAGAUAGAAACUAUGUAGAGACAUAGCGUUACUUAUAAUAGGCUAUAGAAAAUGACCAGUGUUACCUCUAAAACGUCACCAAUGUUGAAUAUAAAGGCAUCAGGAAGGGGUUUAACAGCAACCCAUUUUCCAUCUUUCUUAAUUUGGAGAUCAUCCAUCUCAUUGAUUUGGAGGAGGAUGGUGAGUACGGAGCCAUCAGAAUGAGGCUUAAAGCCAGGAACUUGCUCUGGUUGCGGACAAGGAGGAUAAUAAUUCAUCCUUAAUGAUUGCAUCCCGUUUUCAGACAACUCUAUCAUGUCAUUGGGAUCCAUUCUUAGAGCUUUAGCCAUUAGGUCAAGGAUUUUCAAGGUAAGAUUUUUAAGUUCCGUUAAGUAAACUUCCAAGUCAUCUCUGCAUGCAAAUAACGAUAUAUAGUCCAGUAAUUAUCAUAUGAUAGAAUAUACUAUGUAGCAAAACUCUACGAUUUAAAUAUAGAACCUGAAUGGGAGAGGCAACUUGGGGAACAAGUGGGGUUUCCUCAGAUGGGUUGGGAGAGUGAACAUAGUAAAGCCGUAUCCCCAAUCAAGCUUCUGCUCCUCAGACGUAAUAAAAAGCUGCCCAAAUCCCUCAAUAUCCCCUGGCUGCUGCCAAAAUUUCUUUUUCUCAUCAAUUGGAAGAUUAAAGAAGUCUUGAAUCCUUCUUUCACUUUCUCCACCAAUGAACUGCUCACUCCAUGAUUCAUCAACUGCAUAUAUGCAGAUUAAAACAAGCUGUUCUUUCCAUACAUGGUUCUUAUAGGAAACUUAAAGCUCAGGAAAUAAAAUGAUUUUUAUGGAAAAUGCUAAAAACACCGAGAGCCGAAAGAACGCUAACAAAAGCAAUGAUUCAAGUAUUUUUAUUAUCUGAAUAUCACUGCUCAAUUAUUAUGUACCUGAAAGAAACCCCAGUCUUUACAUGCAUGCUCAAGCUUCUCAAGCUCUGAGUCAUCCCCAGAGAGCAGCCUGUGCAUGUCAAUGACUGGAAGUUGUCGUGUUGAAGAAUCGUCGUUGCGAAUCAGGGGAUGGUCUAUCUCAGCGCGAACAUAACGUGGAGGAACUGUGAUCAGUGGCUGAUUAUUUGCCAGCUCCAGAAUCGAAGGCUCCACCAGAGAACUCCCAAUAACUGUUGCUUUGGUCCCCAUAUUAUAUAGAUUUAGAUUAACUGAUUUCUAGCUAUUACCUUUUUGUUUCUUUUCUCUGCUGUAGACUCAGCUGGUCUGUGUUUUAACGAGAAAUUCAUGUAUAAAUAAUCCUCAGGAUGUACUGUACUGUAAUUGUGUGCUUUAAAAUAUCAAUUUUAAUAUGAAAAUUCGAGAGAAUUUUGACUUUUAUAAGGACACUGAUUAGUGCAACAUUAAGACGAUAAAGAUAAUCUUAGAAUGAAUUAUUUGCACUCUACAUUUAAUUUUGAAUAUCAUUUGAUUUUUACACUCAUUUAAUAAAUUUUAAAAUUAAUUUUUAUUCUAUACUCUUUUAUGUAUCAAAACAGUCUUUUGUUUAUAUCUUAUUAUAUCUCACCCAAUUUAAUUCUUUAUCACAGAACUUCAUUCUAUAUAAUUCUAUUUUUGUUAAAGUGAUAUUUAAGCCUCUCUUUAACAAAAUAUCACUAUGAUACCUUUAAAUGAAAUAGUAUUUUUUUUAAAAAGAGAAUUUUCUCUUAUCUUUACUAGAGAGUUAUGUGCUAGAAUCCAAUUCAUGCUCUUAAUUGAUAAUCUUCAAGCAAUAGAAUAUGCAACUGAUUUGUUUUUAUUUUUCAUUUUUUCAAUUGGGAACUUACAGUCUUAUUUUUUAUUUUCAAAACCAAACAAUGUUACUCGUAAAUUUUUUUUAUCCAGUUUCUAGAGUUGGUAGCUUGUUGGGUAUUUAUGAAACCUUUAAUAUUUUAUGAGGUGUAACAGUAAUAGGAUUAAUAUUUUCACUUCCUUUCUUCACCCUACAAACAGCAAAGUAUGCAAUGAAUGUUUAAAGUUAACAAUCUGUAAAGUCUGGUCUAAACUUUGCUCUAAUUAAAUAUCAUAAUAAAUUAUAAAGAGAGGUUAGAUUAGAAGAUCUCCAACAGCUAGAUUCAAAGAGAUUCUUCAUUACAUUAUUUUAUAAUCAUUUUUUCGAAAAUGUCAUUCCUGUUAUAACAGAGGUAGAGAAACAAAUUGAGAGGGCCUUUCAAUUCCAUUUUCAAGGCGAAAAAUGCAAUGUUAUGUUUCGUUUCUUUUGUUAAUCUAAUCCACUUUCUAUCAAGCAUUUAUUAUUAUUUUUAUUUUUUUGGCUUUUGUUGAGUGUUUUUGUUCUACGAUGGCAAUUUGGGAGAUUAUAAUUGAGAAACAUUUUUAAUAUUUGAAAGAAACCCACGGCUGCACUGAUAAUGAACCCACAGAGAUUAUCAAAGAGUCCCUUUUCGUUUUUAAAGCAGAUUUUUAAAGUUUUAUACGGUGGAGUGUAUGAGAAGAGGAUAAAAAUUGUCAUAAGAGUAAAGUGAGGAUUAGACGGGAUAAAUUGAGUGAUAAAAAAAUUAUUUAAAAAUUUUUAGUGGGGUGUAUUGAGAAGUGGAGGAUGAUGUGGAGAAAUGAGAGUGAAAUAUCCACUAUAACUAUGCUUCAUGAGUAACGAAAUGUUAUAUUCAUUUAGUUAGGAUUCUUAAUUGGUGUACUAAUUAAUGUGUCACCAAUAUAAAUUUAUCAUUUAGAUAUGAAAUGAUAAGACUGAGUAGUUAAGUUCACUUGAACCAAUCAAAUAAUACAACAUAAUCACUUACACAUCUGUUGGUAUACAUAUUAAAUAUCUCAACGAAGUAAAAUUAUUAUUAUAGCAAAUAGAUCUUAAAUAUUAGAAGAAGCUUAUAAUGAAACUGACUCUGAGCCCACUGUCACCUAACCCGUGCAUCCCAGCUACUCUUACGCCUGUAAAUAUUACAAUACUUGGGUUGGGUUGUGCAAUAAUGAAAUUGAUUUUGAUCAAUCACCAUAAAUAGCUGAUUGUAAAUAUUGUGUAAUUAGUUUGAAGUGUGUCACAACAGAAUUAAUGUAGGUUGAUCUCAAUAAAAAUUUAAUUGUAAAUAUAUGAGUGGUGCUCUAAUUAUGAUGUAUAUAUCAAAUGAUAUAAGUAGAGGUCUGAUUGUAAUACUUUCAACGUGAUAUUUAAUUUGACUUGGUUCAACUAUAGCCUUUUCGCUUUCAAUCGAAAACAAAAUAUAAUAAACCCUAAUGUUGUGUUUACUUGCUGGAGUGGGAGUGAGGAGUGUGGAUUCCUCCCACUCCAGCGUUUACUUACUUAAAAUGGAGAGGGAUUGGGAGUCCAACUCCGUGGGCCCCACCCACUUUUGGAGUGGGGAGUGGGAGUGGGAAUCCACUCCCACCUCUCCAAUUUCUACCUUUUUUUUUUAUUUUAUGUUUUAUAAUUAAUAAAAUAAAAUAAAUAAUAUUAUAUUUAUUUAAAUAAUAAUAUUAUAUUUAACUAAAUAAUAAUUUACAUUGAUUCUAAGUUAAAAUUAUUUUAAAAUAAUAUUAUUAUAUUAAUAGAGAAUUAAUAAAUAUAAUAUUAUUAUUUAUUUUAAAAAUAAUAGUACUAUAUUUAUUUAAUAAUAAUAAUAAAUACUUUAUUCUAAGAAAAUAUUAAUUUUGUACUAAAUAAUAUUAUAUUAUUAUUUUAUAUAAUAAUAAAUUUAAUAUAAUUAUAUUAAAUAAAAUAAAAUAACAUUUCAUUUUAUAUUAAAAUUACAAUUAAUAAUUUAUUGUUCAUAAUUAAGAAUAUUAAUAAUUAUAAUAAAUUUACAAAUAUAAUAAAAUAAAUAUUAUUCAUUAAAUAUAUUUUUUAUUAGUUUUGUAAUUAAAAAUUAUAAUUCUUUAAAUAAGGAUAAAAUUGUAAUUUGAAACUAUUUACUUCCAAUCCAAGACAAAGUAAACACAUAAAUUGAAUUCUGAUCUCCAUUCCAUGCUUCCAUUCUAGUGUAAGUAAACAACCUACUCCCACUCCCACUCCACACUCCCAAUCCUAGGAUUCCCACUCCCUAGGAUUCCCAAUCCAAUCCAAAAAGUAAACGCUACCUAAAAACCGUCGUUGAUUACAAUUACAAAUUUACCCCCAUAACUGACAGUCAUUGAUUGCUUCUUUCCCAAGAAACCUUUGGAUAUAUAUUUUAUAACAAUCGGCUAUCACUUUCUUCUUCCAUGUACAAUAUCUCAGUAGGCUGCACUGAUGUUACGGUUGGGUGCUAUUUUGCACAGGAUUAAGAAAACCCAAUUUAGUCAUGCAAACUUAUUGGGAGCUUCCCGGCUGUCAACAACAACAACACGAGACCAAACAACAAGUGCUUUUUGGGGUUCAACGGAAAAGAUCUCCCCAGUCGGACUGUCGGAAGCCCGGCAGUCUGGGUGUUUGAGGAGCUCGAUGAAAUGGCUAAAAUGGGAGAAGACGUAGGCAAAGAUGACAUUGAGUUCAAUAUGGAUCUGUUGCUAAACAAAGCAUGUUACUUGGAUGCUCUCGAGGUAUUUAUUAAAUCAUCAGAUUUCAUUUUUUUUUUUUUUUCCAUUUGGGUUAUCAAUUGCAUCAGUCUUUACUUCUCUGUGUUUUAAUGAUUUUGCAUUAUGGAAUUGGAAUCAAAUGUUAUUUUAUAUAUUUUCACCUUUUAUAAACAUAACCGAAAUCAGCUGAUAUUAAAUUGGGUGCUUGGUGUAUUUUUCAAAGGAUCCUUCAAACACGACAUCAUUUCACAGCACGCACAGAUGUGUGAUUUUAGUUGUAAUAUUUUAUUGCUUUUGUUUUCUAAGACUUGCUCGUUAUCUUGGGUACCUAUAUUAAUCAAGAAAAUUGACUGGCUGGUAAAAUAGUUUUGAUGUUCUGCCAAAUUUAGCUUCCUUGAAAGCAUAAGAAAUUUGAGCUAUUAUUGAUAAUUGAUUUUUUUUUUUAAUUAUCUUGUUGCAAAACUUGUUUGGUAUUGUUUGUCAGUUUAGCAUGCUUUUGUCGUCGCAUUUUAUUUUUUGCAAUCCUUUUAUUAUAAUCUCUCUUUUCUCCAGAUACCGAUGUGGAACAAAAGAUACUUUGAACUUACAACUGGUGAUAUUGCUGUUCGACUGGUUUUGAUUUUCCAUUAUAAGGGAAUAGAAGAGCAGAAAUUUUUUUCAGUAACAUUCCAGAAAACUUAAGGGCUCUCGAGGUUUAUAUUGCUUUGCUUUAUUGCUAUGCCAAACUAGAUUCUGUGUACAAAUCAGAGUCUGUGAAGAAAGCGGAAGCCAUCAUGCAGACAUUAAGGGAUUUGGGGUUAGACAGGGAAACAAUGGCUUACGAUUGUAUGCUUAAUCUUUACUAUCAGACUGGAAAACUUGAGAAAAUUGAAGUAUGGUGCUGGAAAUUGAAGAAAAGGGUAUUGGUUACAACGAUUAUACAUUCUACAUCCGUCUGAGUGCAUAUGCAGCUGUUUCUGAUUGCAAGGGAAUUAAGAAGAUGGUGACAAUGAUGGAAUCGGAUCCCAAUUUUGUUGUAGACUUGUCAGUUUAUGCUAUUGCAGCAAGUGGGUAUGCAAGAGCUGGGCUUCUGGACAAGACUCAUGCAAUGCUAAAGAAAUGUGAGGGACUGGCAACGGGUGGACAAGACAGAUACCCACCGUAUGAUUUUCUUAUCUCAAAGUAUGCGGAAUUUGGGAAUAAAGACGAUGUUUUAAGAGUUUGGGAAUUCUGCAAAAAGAACUCGAGCGGUUGGAAGGUGGCAGGCUCCGUCAUUCCUUCUGUGCUGAAAUUUGACGACCUGGAAAUUUCUGAGACGAUUUUGGAGGAAGUGAAUUGGCCCAAGGGGAAUCCACAUUAUUGUAUCCAUGUUAUAAAUCCCUUGAUUGCUGCAUAUUGCAGAAAAGGUCUUUUAGGGAAGGCUGAAGCUAUUAUCAACAAUGCACAAUCAAGGGGGCUGAACCCUGAUGUGAGGACGUGGUAUCUUAUGGCAACGGGGUAUCUUCAGAAUGAUCAAACAGAAAAGGCAAUGGAAGCGAUGAAGAAAUCAAUUUGUGAAACUGGAAUCGGGUGGAUUCCAUCUAAGGAAUGUUUGGCCGUGUUUCUGAAAUGGUUUGAAGCUGGAAAAGAUACUGAGGAGGCAGAGCAUUUGGCAAACUUAGAAGGGGACUUUUUUGUUAGUUUGGAUCUUUCUUACGAUUUGUUGAAUUAUUUUCAACAUGGCUACGUAGACAAAAUACCCCUGGAGUUCCUGGUUUCGUCGUGGUAAAUAAUACUCCAAUCUUUUAAAUUGACUUUGGAAUUGGGAAUCUUCCCUACAAGUGUGAUUGAUUUUGUUGCCUCUGCAUACAUUUGAAAAAUCUUAAAUAUUGUGGUUUUUCGCUUCCUAUAAGUUUCGGUUGAGAUUUUUAAAAUGGUUGAACUGCUAAAAACAGCUUAAUAAUUAUUUUACAUAAGUACCACAUUGGCCCUUGGCCAUCAACAAUGCUAUCGACAAAAACGGAUUCAUAACUCUAUGUUUCCACGUCAGCGUGGUUGCAAAAGUAACGUGUAUUUUGUAGUUUGAUUAUGUCCAACUUGGGGAUAACAAAACUCAGCCAUUUGAUCGGUGGCUUUAUAUGAACGGUCAAAAUUUUGAAACCAAAUAUCUUCUUUGUGGUCGAAGGCCAGUCGAACAUCGUACGUUACUGGGAGGACGGUGAGAUAUUUUGCAUCCAACGGUCAGCAAAUACGCUCCUAGACACUUUUACUCUUAUCUGAACGGCAGAAAUUUUGAUAGAAAUAACGAAAUUUAAAGGGGGACCCUGACUUUUUUUUUUUUACGAGAGGACCUGACUUUUUAAAAUAAUUUAAAUUUAUUUUUGUUUCAUCUUGACUGAGGACUCAUUUAAGAUUACUAUUAAGACUUCAAAGUAAUUUAAGAAGUAAAAACUUAAUUUUGGUAAUUUUCUUUUUGAAAUCACUCGUGACAAAAUUUGAUUUUGAGCAUCAAAUAAAAUUUAAAUUUUAAUAUGCAUAAUUAAUUUUGGUAAUUUACUAUAUCGUUACAUAUUUUACAUAAGACCAACAUUAUCCUUAAUUAAUUAACAAAUAAAAUCAGAAAGUUUAAGAUUAUUAUCAUUUUGAUUUUUUUUCAUGCACGCUCUUUAUCCCAAUUCUUUUUCUCUCUAUUUUCCAUUCCAUCAAUAAUUCUCUAAUAGUGCAAAUAUCAUUGUUUCAAGAUAGGGUUAAUAUGUGUUUUUUAAUAUUUAAUAAAAUUUAAGGUGAAUUAUAUAUAUUCCAAUCUAGAAUCCUAGAUUUGUUAAAGUCUGGAAAUACUAUUAAGCCAUAUAGUUUAAUAGUGUAUGAUAUAAUACUAUUAAAGCAUAUAUCUUAAUAACUUUUUGGUACUUUAAUAAAGUAUAGAAUCCUGGACUAUUUGUUGAAGUAAAUUUCACUUAACAUUAUGUCUAUUUUAGUCACUUGUACUCUAACAAUAAUUUAAUAAUAAGAUUUAAUAUGUAUAAUUAAUUUUAAUACUCCCAACACUUUUAGAAAUAAAAUUUACUGAACAUUUAGUUGAUUUUGUUCACAAUUGAUUAGGUCCACUACAAAUCUAAUAGAAAUUAUUUUAAAAGCUACAACAUUACAAAACUAGUCCUAAAUUUCGUUGUUAAAUAUAUUAGUACGACAAGUCCACAAGGGCAUUUUAGUCAAACUCAAAUGAACCAUCUUCUUAUAUUAUCAAUAUGACAUGCGCUAGGAGUUUAAGCAUACCAUUCUUAGUGUUAACUACUCAAAGGGAAAUCUACAUUAAGGUAACUACUAAGUUACAUUAUAUGUAAUUUGUAGUUGACCUAAAAGUAGUGUCCUAUAACCUUAGUUGUGUGACAAGUAACAAUUGAGUCAUAAAAAUUAAAAAAAAAAAAAAAAUUUGGUCGAUAUACGUUACAUAUGAUAUAACUUAGCAAGACCCGUUAUAUAUAUUUACCGUAUAUUUACGCAACGGAAUAUUUUUUUAGGUGAUCGAUGUUUGUUGAUAUACAUUGUCAAUGCGGCUUCAUCUUUGGAUUCUUCUUGGAGAACUAAAGCCUGAGAGAAUCCCUAGCUGAAAAUAACAAGAGAAGAUCCGCAAAUAAGGGAGAGAGUUUUAGCCAAGAUUGCGGACUCAGUUGAUGAUAAUGAUGAUCUUUAUGAGAAAUUAAAAGUUGAGGCUUAAUGGCUUAUUGAUAAUUUGAUAUCUUUUAUAGGUUAAUAUGAUGUUUCUAGCUAUGCAAGCAUUUGUAUGAAGUUGGAUUUUUAUAUUCAUAUACUUUGAUACGAUAUUUAGUUAAUUGGUACUUCUUUAAUAAUGUAAAUUUUACUUUACCUUAUUCAGUUUUCAUAUACUUUAAGAUGAUAUUUAGUUAAGGGAGAUUAUCAAUUUCCCCACUACUGUAAUUAAUAUAUACAAUUUAUUUCCCUGUUGUAUUUAUAAUAACUAGUAACUCCCAUAACAACAUAAGUUUACAAUAUUACGUCUAUUUUAAAAUAUACUUUUAUUUAUAUUUAUUAUAAAUUAAAUAAAUGAUAUGAAUAGAAAAUAAAUAAAAAAAUUAAAUAUUAAAAACAAGAAAUAUAUGCUUUGAUGUGAACAAAAAAAUUAAUAAUAAAAUUUUUUCUUGUACUUUUUUAUUUUGUAAAUAUUUUCUUAUAAUAAAUAUUUUAUAAUAUUUUAAAAUUAAAUAUAAAAAAGUAUCGGAAAAUAUUUUAUUAUUUAUUUUAUAAUAAUAAUUUAUUAAUUAUUCAAGUUUUCUUAUAACAAUUUUUUUUAUCAUUUUAUAAUAAUUUUCUUAUAUAUUUAUUAUAAGAAAAUGUUUAUAAAAUAAAAAAAAAGUAUAAGAAAAAUAUUUUAUUAUUAAUUUUUUUCACAUGAAAACAUAUAUUUCUUAUUUUUUAAACUUAAUUUUUUUAUUUUAAUUUCCAUUCACAUGAUUUAUUUAAUCUAUAAUAAAUAUGAAUAAAAGUGUAUUUAAAAACAAGGGUAAUAUUGUAAACUUAUAUUGUUGAGGGAUUAUUGGCUAUUAUAAAAAUAUGAGGGCGCAAAUCAUAAAUAUUAAUUACAGUAGGGGAGGAAUUGACAAUCUUCCUUUAGUUAAUUAAGGGGUGGGGAUAUUUCCACCCAAUUAUUUGCCUAAACCCCCUUCACUUCUACAAAAUAUUUGCAAUAAAUACACAUUUUUUUUCUAAUAAAUACAAAUCAACAAAAAAAUAUAUAUAAUUAAUCAAUUAAAUCAUUCUUAUAUUUUUUUACUUAGUUUUUUAAAACUAUUAAAGUAAGUAAAAAAAUAUAAUAUAAGUUCCAUUUAAUUAUUUUGCUUUAUGACAUAAAAUGACCCACUUGUCCAAAAAAAUAUGUGUUCUUGUAUCUAAUACUUUAGGUACUUAGUUUUUUGACUUUUAAUCUAACUUCUUGUUAGAGUGCAAUUUAUGCACUAGUUUUGCAUUGUUUACUUCCUUUAAUAUCGAUGUUUUGCACUUAAUAAUAGUGAUUUACUUGUAUUUUAUUUUUGUAGGUGCAAUUAUAUUGAUUGGUGCUAAAAUUGAGCUACAAGAUGAUGUUUGGGGAUGAUUGUUUUCCUGGAGAAAUUAUGAGCUUCAGAAGAACUUUGUUGAUAAGGUGUGGGGGUGUGCUGUCAACUACGGACCUGCAGUUUUUAGUUUAACGUGUUUUGUCUUUUUGGUUAAUUUUGUACUUUUGAAUUUAAUAUUUAGAUAAUAUUUUAGAUGUUAGUAUUUUAUUUUUAGAAAAACUCUAUAAGAGGAAGGAGACGUGAAAAACAAGAGAGGAGGGGACUUUGGAAAGAGGAAGAAGAAAGAAACCCUAGAUCUAAAUUUUUCUCUUCUCUCUAUGAAGAACUAAACCUAUUAUUCUGGUUGAAGGUUAAUGAAGCUUUGAUUCAUCAUUAUUGUGAGAUCUUUCUUAUGCUUUAAUUGUUUUAUUACUUUUUGGGUAUUUGUUUAUUCUCAAAAUUAUUGUCAUGAUUAUGUUUGUUAAUUAGAUAAUAUGCCACUAUUUAAUUAUCAACUUAAUAUAUUGUCAAUUAUAGGAUUCAUCGUAUGAAGAUUUCAAUGUUUGUGACAAAUAACAUAGCAGUGCGUUGUGUUAUGAGAAUAAACAAUCUAAUUUAAAUGAACCAUCGUAUGCGUUUGUUGAUUAGGAUUUGGGUCUCUCUGGUUUUUCAGGCUGUAAAUUGAUUAAAUCCUAUGAUCGUAUCUAGGGUUAUCUAUUGAUUAGGGAAAUAACCAAUGGUCGUACCUUGGUUAUCGACUAGUUAAGGAGAGAUUGGCUAUUAGAGGGUCUCAGUAGCUACAACCGGUCUAUUCAUAAGUAGUAAUGAUUUAUAUUUGAAUCAAUGAUCAGUAGUCGAAUCAAGCUGAGUUAAUUCCUUCAACCAGAGCUUUUCCCAAUUUGAAUUACAAUUUUAAUUUGCAUUCUUGUUAUUUUUAUUUGAUUUUUAUUAUUGUCAACAAUCCCCCCAUUUUGCAAUUUACAUUUUAAAAAGGAUUUAAAUAAUUACCGAUCUCUGUGGACACGACUCUUCUCAAUCCCUAUACACAAUUUAUUUAGAGUAGGUAUUUAUUUUUACUAGCUUCGACAACCAUCACUUCUUAAAUGACGUCUAAUAAUUUUCAAUAUUUUACAUGUAAAUGACAUAAAUUUGACAGGCUAAUAAUUUAAUGAGAAUUUUCUCAUAAGAACAUUAUGUUAGUUUAAUUAAAAAUUAAUAAUCAUAUUAAUAAAGUAAAAUUAACUAUUUAGAAACAAUGAAUUUUGUAUGAAAUUAAGAAAUUGUUGAAGCUAAAUUAAAUUUUUGGUAUUUUUACCCUUUAAGCGUAAAAUAGUCAAUUUAAAUUUAGGUUAAAGCAGUCUUAUUAGUCAAAUAUAAUAAAAAAAUCUAAGUCACAACAAAAUAAAUUUAAAUAGAUUUAAUUAAUUAAUUCUUCUGAAUUCUUUUUUAUUUGAAAUUUUUAAAAAUAAUGAGAAUUUUUUGUAAUUAUUUUUUAAAAGUGGGGUGGAUUUGCAGAAUUUGUGGGGUGGAAAUAUCACCACCCUUAAUUAAAUACUUCUUUAAUAAUAUAAAUUUCACUUUACCUCAUUCAAUUUUGUUCUCCUAAAGAUAGGUUUUUAUUCUCAUAUUUGAAGUAAAAAUUUAAUUUUUCGAGAAACCUCGAUAGAGAGGGCAAUUUUUUCGGAUAUAAAAGAAACAGUUGCAUCAAUUCAGGAGAGCACAUAGUGAGGCUUACCUCUUCAAAACUGAAAUAAUCUCUAACUUGAAAGACCAUCUAACUUCUUUGGAAGGAUGUUUGUACCUUUGAAGGCACCACAUGCCAUCCAGUAAACCUGGAGUACUCAUGAUCAAGAUUUGCUGGAUGAUCCAUAACACCCUUUUGUUAUCUAAAAGUACAACAGAAAAGGAAAUUCAUUGCCUUUAGAAAGAUGGCGACAAUUAAGCCAUCUAUUUCGAAUACCAUUUUAUUAAUGAAGAUAUUAUGAAUAUCUUGAUAAUAGUAUAAAGUUCAAAUCGCUCAAAACGGUUUAAACCGGUAGAGUGGGGCUCGUUAAAGCUAUUUUCCGCAGUCCUUUGCUCUAUAGCAUCUAGAUUUAUUUAUGGCCUAAAUCUUUGAUCAAACAGCUUCAUACCUGGUCUCGGAAAUUCAUUUCUUGUGAUUACAGUUCUCGGAAGAUAGCGUUAGUUCAUUGCGAUCAGUUUUGUUUGUUAAAGGCAGUGGGUGGUCUUGGACUUCGUCGUCUAGAUAUUUUAAAUAGAUCAUGCAUGCCUGUAAAAGAUUUUAUGCAAUGUUAAAAAUCAUUCUUCUAUGUAUGCUGACUAUCUUAAAGCUUGUUACAAACUUAUUAUACACCAAUCGGUUUUUUGUUAAUUCCUCUUAAUAGGCUGGUCUCUUAAAGUGUUAUUGCUGAUGGCUUCUUUAUUCAUUUUUUGGAUUGACAGAUGGUUGUCGGAUCCUCUUCCUCCUAUUAGUUAAAGCUUGUUACAAACUUAUUAUACAGCCAAUCGGUUUUUUGUUAAUUCCUCUUAAUAGGCUGGUCUCUUAAAGUGUUGUUGCUGAUGGCUUCUUUAUUCAUUUUUUGGAUUGACAGAUGGUUGUCGGAUCCUCUUCCUCCUAUUAGUUAUUUUAUUGACCUUGCUUUGUCUUGUACUAAAGUCUCCAGAUUAAUGAUUUAUGGGAGUUUAUUUUUCAAUAUCAGAUUAAUUAGUCCUCAACUUUAUAAUAUUUGGGUCACCACCAGUUAUUACCUGCUUUAUUUGAUUUGGAAAGACAGAAAUAAGCUGAGAUUUGAGAAUGUCUAUCCUUCUGUAGAUCGUUUUACGGCCAAAUGUUCUGCCCGUAUUAUUAUUUUGCUAAACUUUGCCCAGGUUAUGUUGGUUAUGCCAUAUUAUUAUUCUGCCAAACUUUAUCGAGGCUGUUGAAAGUCAAAUAAUCGCUCGCCAAUUUCAAAAAGCAAAAUCGGCGGCAUGUUUUUGUUGACAUAUGCAUGGAGAAAAAUGUGGUGGUUUUUCUAGAUGCCGCUUGAAUUUGUCAAAAUUGUUGAUUUUGGUUGCCGUUUUUCAAAGCUUUUGGGGACAAAGGAAUUAAAUGCAUGCAUGAUCUUUGGCUAUAAAUACCAAGCCAUUUGUUCAUUUGAAGGCAUCCACAUUUUGAGAGCAAUUGCAAGUAAAUCAAUUUGAGAGAUUUGAGAGAUUUGAGAGAGCUAUUACUUAAGUGUUCUAGUGAGGAUCCAAAUGGGUGUAUUGAGGUUUCCGGCUUCGAGAGCUUUUUUCUCAAUUUUGUAAAUUCCCAUUUAUUACUGAAAUUAGCUUUAAUCUUUGCCCGUGAAUGUAGAUUUUAUGCCGAACCACAUAAAUUAUUGUAUUUAAUUUAUUUUUUUGCAUUUUCUUAUUACCAUAUUUAUAUUUCUGCAGAAGUCACAGUCACCAUAAUAUUGAUAAUUGCUCAACCCGCGCUUCCGCAAAAAUUGGUAUUAGAGCCAAAGGUUCAUACUUGGGGUAUACUACACUGUUCACGUAAAUAGUAUUAUUUGUAGAUAUGGUACUAUUCACGCAUACGAUGGAGACGACGAUUUGUACUUGGGAGACAGUCUAUUUAUGAAUAGCUACUGACGGCAUUGGUCAUUUAGGUUAAGAAAGAUGAUAGAGACAUCAUUGUUGUCUUCAUCAGCGAUGACUACUGUGACUAAUGCAAAGUUUGAAGUGGACAAAUUCAAUAGUACUAAUAAUUUUGGUAUGCAGCAAUAUGAGGUGAUGGAUCUCUUAUGUUAGAAAGAGUUGGAGCUUACUCUUAAAGAAAAGACUGAGAAGAUAAAUCACAAGGAGUGGACAAAAAUCAAUAGAUAGUGGACAAAAAUCAAUAGAUAGGUAUGUGGUACUAUUCACUUAUGUCUAGUUAAAGAUCAUAAAUACUUUGUCAUGAGUGAGACAUCAGUAAAGAAAUUGUGGGAAAACAUUGGAAGAAAAAUAUAUAAAGAAAAGCCAUGAAAACAUGCUUUAUAUGAAGAAAAAACUCUCAAAACCAAAAACCUAAUACACCGAAUUGGAUCCUCACUUGAACAUUCAAGUAUAAACUCUCUCAAAUGUCUAAUAUUGCUUCACUUGUAGUUUAUCUCAAAAUGUGGAUGCCUUCAAAUGAACAAAUGUUUGUCAAAAUGGUCUUUAGCGAUAAAUACCAAGCCAUUUGGUCAUUUGAAGGCAUUCACAUUUUGAGAGCAAUUGCAAGUAAAGUAAUUUGAGAGAUUUGAAAGAGUUUCAACCUACGUGUUCUAGUCAAGAUCUAAUUGGGUGUAUUGGGAUUUUGAGUUUUGAGAUUUUUUUUUUCUAAUUUUGUUAAUUCGCAUUUAUUAGCUCAUGAAAUUAUCUUCUAGUCUUUGCUCUUGGACGUAGGCUUUACGUCAAAACAAGUAAAUUAUUGUGUUCAAAUUUUUCUUUUUAUUUGUUUAUUACCACAUUUAUAUUUAUAUAAAAGUUGCAAUCACCGUAAUGUUGAUAAUUGCUAAACCUGCACUUCCCUAACAGAGGUUAUGAUAGUUAUGGGUGGAACAUGAACAAAUUUUUGCUUAGUACAAGAUUAGAUCAUGAGAAAAUCUUAUAUAGGACAUACAUAUCCUCAAGUUCCUUAGCAUCCCAUCUUAUAUAGGACAUAGAUAAGAUCAUGAGAAAAUCUUAUAUAAGAAAAAUGUUAAACAAACUGAACGUUCACAGAAGAAUCACAGAUUUAAUUAACAAAGUAAUCCUGCACAGUUUUAUAGUUAAUUUGGUCAUCAUUUAAUAUCAGUGCUCUGAAGGGAAUUAAGAAAACACUAAGUUAAAGUAGAAAACAAAGGCAGUAGAAAGUGAUGAGUGCUACAUCCAAAACGUCACCAACGAUUAUGAUAAAAGCAUCAGGGAGGAGUUUAACGAGAACCCAAUUUCCAUCUUUCUUUAUUUGGAGGCCAUCCAUCUCAUUGAUUUGGAGGAGGAUGGUGAGUGCAGAGGCAUCAGAAUGAGAAUUCAAGCCAAUAACUUGCUCUGGUUGUUGACAAGGAGGGUCAUAAUUCAUCCUUAUUGAUUGCACACCAUUUCAAACAACUCUUUCAUCUCAUUGGGAUCCAUUCUUAGAGCUUUUUCCAUUUGGUCAAGCAUUUUCAGGGUAAGAUUUUUCACUUCCGUUAAGUAAACUUCCAAGGUAUCUCUAGCAAUGCAGCACUAUUGUAGUAUUGUUAGAUGGACGAAACGUUGCAUCAAUAAUUGGUGUGUUGUGUGGCUAAAAAUGAAAAAAGAAAAAUUGAGAGGCAGAGAAAACCUGAAUGGGAGAGGCAAUUUGGGGAACAGGUGGGGUCUUCUCGAAUGAAUUGGGAGAGUGAAUAUGGUAAAGCCGUAUCCCCAAUCAAGUUUCUGCUCCUCAGAAGCAAUGAAGAGCUGCCCAAAUCCCUCAAUAUCACCAGGUCGAUGCCAGUACUUGUUCUUUUCCUCAAUUGGAAGAUCAAAGAAGUCUUGGGUCUCAGCUUUCAUUUUCUCCACCAGUGAACUGCUCACUCCAUGAUUCACCAGCUACAUGCAAAUUAUUCAAAGCACGAUGUUGUUGUCAUAUAUGUUCCACAGAAAUUAAUUUGAAGUCAGAAAAACAUGAAGAAAUACUCAUUUAAUUCCCAUAAUUUGAGCUAAUCAUCUAGUCAGUCGAUUUCCUUUCAAAACAACAAUAAUAUGUUCACAAAAAAUAGUAUAAAAAUGGUACGUCAUACUAGAAAACCAAAAAAAAAAAAAAAUAACUAUAGGAUGAAAAAAAUUAUUACAAGACAAGAAAUUUUUUUUUAAUCUUUUGUAGUUUUUAUACUAAUUUUUGUAUUAUUUUCGAUACAUAUUUCAUUAUUUUUUCAAAAAGAUUACUUAAAACAUAUUUUUGUAGCGAUUGGAUCCGAUUUUUUAAGGAUAAAAUAAUAUUUACAUAAUUUCAAAUAAUUAAAAUUCAAAUUAAUUCAACAUUUAGGAGGUGAAAAAAAAUGAUAAUUAAAUUGAUAUCAAUGAAUCAACAAAAAUACAAUAGAGGACGUUUUAGAUGAUUUUUUUUUUUUUUUUUUGUGUUGGGGAAAAUACAAGCACUACUUGGAUAAUUUGCUAAAAUUAUGGAAAAUGACAAUAAUUAACAAAGAAGAGUACGUAUACAUGAAAGAAACCCUAUUCUUUGCAUGCAAGGUCAAGCUUCUCAAGCUCUGAAUCAUCUCUAGAGAGCAAUUUCUGCAGGUCGAUGACUGUUAGGAAAUUAGUGGGUGAAGCUGACACGCAGCUAAAAUAAAAUUGGAAGAAACUAAAGAACAAGCACAAUAGAGGACACCAGAAAUUACGUGGUUCGGUUUUUAGCCUAUGUCCACUGGCGAAAACAGAAGGAAAAUAUUUUACUAGUAAAAAAGAGUUACACGUAUUGUGGUAUUUUGUCUCACUACCCAAAACCCGAAUACACCCAAAACUCUCAAAUCACAAAUCACUCAAGAGUUUGUUAAAACUCUUAAAAUACUCUCACUUUCUCUCUAAAGAAGAAGAAAUAAAAUGGAAAAUUUGGAUGCUCUAAGCCGAUGGGGAGCUCCCCCUUUUAUAGCCAAAAUUGGCUAUUAAAAUAAUAAUAUUUUUUUCUUUUCUUCCAUUUUGAUGUGCCAACCACCAUUUGCAGCAUUUUCUUCAUUCUUCUUUCUUCUUUGUCAAAAUUUCCCUUUUUUUUCCUUUCCUUGGGCGGCAUCUACUUGGACUUCAAUUUGGGUGGUCAUUUUGAAAAAUGUUAAUGGUGCCAAACCGCCCAACCAUGACUUUGACAUUCUCCCACUUGGAGAUUAAAUUGAGAAUCAAUCAAUCUCUACACUAUUCUUUCUACUUCGCCAUAAUCAUGUUACCUACGUUUCUGCUAGGCCACAAGAGGAUCUAAUCCAGACAAACUUAUCAGUAUUUAUUGGCUUGGUCAAAACAUCUGCUAGAUUCUCCUUCAUAUGGAUUUUUUGUAAAUCCACACUUCCGUCUUCCACUACUUCUCGAACGAAGUGAUACUGAACUCCUAUGUGUUUUGUCCUGGAAUGAAAGGCUAGAUUCCUUGCAAUGUGCAAGACACUCUGACUAUCACAAAACACAGAAAUUUUCUCUUGUUUGUGCCCGAGUUCCUCCAAUAACCUUUGUAUCCAGAUAGCUUCCUUGCAAGCUUGUGUAGCCGCCAUGUACUCUGCUUCUGUUGUAGAUAAUUCCUUAACUCUUUGCAGUUUUGAAACCCAGCUUACAGCUCCUCCCGUAAGUGUUGUUGUGCAAAUUUUAAUGUACUCGCAAGUGCACGAAUCUAUUGUAGUAUAGAUCAAUGGUGACGAGUGUCGAUCCCACGAGGAGGUGGAUUUUAAUUGUGUAUAGAAUUAAUUUUGUAAAUGGGGGAUUGAAUUUGUGGUGGAAAUGAUUUGGAAUAUGCUAAAACUUAAAUUAAAAUGGCGAGAAUAAAUUCUAAAAUUGGAAUUGAAAUGGCGAGAAUAAAUUGAAGAGAAUUCUAUUGAAAUGGUGUACUUGAGUAUCUGGAUCCGUAUCAACAUGCAUCAUGGGCUAAAUAUUCCUUAUUAAUACCAAUUAAAUCAUGAGGGGGGAAUCCACACCUCAUGAACCACGCUCUAAUCAAUAUGGUGCUAAGGGCUUAUCGUGCCAAAUAAUAAUAACCUUAUACUAGAGAGCCGGUGUAACCAAGGCGGUAUCUAGACAAGAUCAGUAUUAUUUGUCGACGAUAAGUCAAAUCAUCCACAAAAAUUAGAGGGGAAGAGAAAGUAAAUUUACCAAAUCAAGCCCAUGACACAUGUUGAGACUUCACCUUCAACCCAAGUUUGAAAGAAAAUUAGCCACUCAUAAUUGAACUAGGGGCAAAAUGGAAAUUUAUUAAAAUACGAAGAAAAUACAAGAUGGAGAGGGAAUUACAGAAAAUGGAUCCCAAAAAUGGAUUCAAAGAUAUCAAAUUAGGGGGGGGAGGCCCCCUUUUUAUAGAUACAUGGAGUAAAUCAUGGCCAUCGGAUUAAAAACAGUUUGGACGCUCAGGAUUGCGCCACGUCAUCAGUCAACAGUCCACGGUUUGACCACGUGGAUGAACAGUAACACGGUUUGACCCGGAUGAACAGUACGCGGUUUGGUUGAAAAUAAUCCUGUGUGAUGCAUGCACCGUACGCGAGAUUUUUCGUCCACUGAUAUGCUGCCACGUCACCAUCAACAGUACAUAAGAAUUUUAGUCCAACAGGAUCGUGACACCUCAUCAGUCAAUGCCACAUCAUCGGUCCGUCUAUGUGAACAGUGUCGUGAACAGUAACGUAGACAGUACCGUAUACGUGAAUAGUACCGUACAUGUGAAUAGUGCCAUUUUUCCUUUUAUGCUCCUCCUAAGGUUUUCGACCAUCCUGAGUUCAAAAGUGAUGUCCGUUUUGCCGUCUGAUCUCUCCUUUAUUGUGAAAUGACUAUACUGCCCCUAAAAUACAUAAAAUACUUAAUUAAAAUAACACACACGUAAUUACAUCAUAAGAAGGUUAAAUACAUAAAAGUAAGGGUUGUUAGUAAGACUUGAAAUGUAAAAUGACGGUUUUCUCCUUUAUAAAUAUGCAUUUUCUGACACUCAACACACCCUCCAACCAGCUUAUUGCUAGUCCCUAGCAAAUAAAGCGAAAACAAAAUUCAAAUUCAAUUUUUUUUUUUUUUUUUUUUUUUUUAGAAACACUCGUGUUUAUUCAAUCAGAUUAAUGAUAGCAAUCAAAUAAAAGUAUAAGCAUUAUCUCUAGUCUAAAGCAAUAUCACACCCACAUCAACCAUCCACAUGAAUUGGCCCAGUAGACUUUGUUAUAGCUACUUUCAAGAAUGACAUGUCAAACCCCAAAAUCUCACUGGAAGUAGUGACACUCUCAUAAUGAAUGGUAAUUGAGAGAAAAUAAUGAAAAAGUGAUAUCACAUGCUCUCACCAAGAUGAAAUAAAUAUGCCCUCAGCUUAGAAAUAAUACAAUCUCAAGUCAAAUAAAAAAAAUGUUAGUCAACCCAAUUUAUUUAUUUAUUUUUUUUAUAUGCACCACUACAUCUUUUUAGCCCAUAUAACUAGCUUCUACUUCAAACUAUAGUUCCCUAAAAUCAAGAAGGACUUUUAUUAGGACGUAACGUAGGCUAGGGAUAUGACUAACAAAGAAAGGAAAUAAGGAAAACAAAGUGUAUAUUUGAGAAAAAUGCAGAAAUAUUUUUUCUUUUUUUUGAAGUUGCAAGGUGGAUUUCACCUAUUAUUGUUAUUUUAUUAUUUUGAAACAACAACUUUUGUUUUUUUUUUGUUUUGUUUUGUUUUUUUUGUUUUUUUUUGUUUUUUUUGCUUUUAUUUGGCAUAACUUCACUGAACAACAUAAUUAUUUACAUUUUCUCAAACAUAAAUAGGUGAUGGAACUUAUAAGACAUCGGGUAAUACUCCAAAUCAGAGUGGGUCAAGAUGAUAAGUUGACAAAGAAAAUAUAUAUAUUUUUUUUAAAGGCUCAAAAGGGGUAACUAUGGAUAUUUAAUAACGGGGAUGGCUAGAAAGGCUCAAACGGAUCAAAGAUGGCCUUUCCAUCGUUUUUUAGGGCUCUAAAUAAUUAUCCAUAUCUACUAGUUAGAUGGGCCUCCCAAUGUAGCAACGCACAUUUUUUUCUUUUUUUUUUUCUUUUUUUUUUUAAUUUUACCAUUUUUUUUUUAUAGGGUUAACUCAAAAGAAAUCUAGAGAUCGUGUAUAAAAUAAUAAACUGCUAAGCUGUAUAGAAAAUGGGCAAAAGGGUUACUCUCCAAGAAAAUGAUAGGCUCAACAACUCACUUGGCACUUAUUUAUGACAUGUUCGAAUUCAAGCAACUCAUAUUUGUCUCCGACAUCAACAUGUAAAGUAGCAAACAUAGCGUAACAUCACUUAAGACCAAAGAUAAUACAAAUACUAAAAUUUGAAAUUAAUCAUGUUAUCCAAUGUUAAAACAAAAAACACAAUUUUUUUUUUUUUUUACACAACAUUCUACCCCCCAACCUAUUCUAAACAUGAAAGGAAAAUAUGCAUGCAGAAAUGUGAAAAUGAUGUAGAAAAAUUAAUUAGAAAAAUAAAUUUUUUGUUUUUUAACUAAGAAGAUGCGUUUCUAGAGGCACUACACUCCAUAUUCAGCCAUCUUCGACUCAAAAAUUUGAAAAUAUAUAUUUAUAAAGGAGAAAGAGGAAGAAAACGAUUUUGUUUUUGUUUUUUUUUUUUAAACGAUGAAGAUGCGUUUCUAGAGUAACUACACUCCAUAUUCAGCCAUCUUCAACAUAAAACGUUAGCAACAGUUAGUUUCUACAACAAAAAAUCAGUAAAAACUUAACCAAGAUUCCACAAUUGUCGACUAUUCCCUCCCCCAACCAGAACGAAACAUUGUCCUCAAUGUUUUAAAGGAAAGAAGUAGAGUUUAGAAGACAUCACCUGGGUGGUGCAACACAGAAGAAUAUAUUUACAGGCGGAGAGUUAAAUCUAAUUUGUACUUCUUACUGCGGCUACUGUUACCAUCAUUAUUUGGGCGCUCCAACACAAAGGUCCAGGGGUCUGGCUCCGGUUUAUAAGCUUGUAACAGAUCAAGUAGCUCAUUAGCAGUGUGAGCACAAAUAAAAAGUUUUUUUUACAUUAGAAGGAAUGAAAUAGUUUUUUAUUGCAUGGUUAAGAAAUGCGAUAAAGCCAUCAUAAAAGUUAUUGACAUUUAACAAACCGAUAGGUUUCUGGUGGAUGUGCAGAUGGGCCCAAGAUCCUAGUGUCAUAAGUGCCUCUAGUGUUGCAAGAUCUCCUGGAAGGAAAAUAAAAGCAUCAGCAUGAUUAAGCAUUUCAGUUAUUCUUUCUUGCAUACUUGAGACGACUAACUCUUCUCCAGUUGAUGAGUCAGACGAACUGCCCAAUGGUUUUAGGACUCUUGGGAUGAUGCCUAACACUUGACUUCCUCUGAUAAAAGCUGCUUCUGAGACCAUUUUUGAUAACCCUCGGUUACCUCCUCCAUACACCAAAUGUAAUUUUCUCGCUGCUAUGCUUCGACCAAGAUCUAUGGCUGCCUCAACGAACUCUUUAUGUUUGCCAUAUGUAAAUCCAGAAAGCACACAAAUGUUCUUGAAUUGUCUAUUGGGAGUAGCUGCCAUUGUGAUACUUCUCAAAAACAAUUUGUGAGUGCUUGACAAAAGAUAAAUCACAUUUAAGAAUCUUGGUGACAAUGGAUCACUGCUGUGAAUGAGGUAACAUAUCAGUGUCAAAUAACGCGUAAAGCACGUGGCUCGCGAGUCAAAAAGGAAACAGUAAAAAGGACAAAGCAAACAGUAAUAAAAUUAUUAAAGACAAUAAUGCAAACAAUAAAACAACAGUGAAAUGAAAUAAAAUAACAGUAAAGUAAAAGGAUAUUUACACGUAGUUGCGACUGUGGCUCACAUCUUCCUCUGGUUUUACGUCCAGAAACGGCUUGAACGCCCUCUAUGGGUCGAGGAUCGGCUUCCCAUCCAGUUUUCUUAUAAACUGACAAACAUGGUCGUUUAUAGUCAGAUUCCCGAGACUAUAUCGUGCAUGCUCUUUCUGGAAUAAUGGCUCAACACUCAACACAUAUCCACUGGGAUGCGUUUCAAGAGACAAAAGGAUAUCAUCCAAUUUGCACAUUUAACACUCAACACUCAACACAUAUCUUCCCUGUUAUCAGACACCAUUCCUAAAGAACAUGGGUUUCUAUCGCAACUCAUUCUAGCACACUUAUGACAAGCAAUAGAAAUUCUUCGAGCUCGUCGUUUUCUUGCAUAAUUUCCUUUACCACAACCAGGCAUGAAUGCAAUAAAUUUUGGAGGUAACUCACCUGCCGAUCGUACUUUAGCCUCGAUUAACCAACGGAUGUCAGCAGGUAUGUUAUUCUUCAUGAGCAAUCGCAUGCGUUCGGACCGGGCUUUAUAGAUUGUAAGGAGGGCAUUCUGAGGAAGUGAAGGGAAUCGCUUGUGAAGCUUCGCUAGAAUCUCGUUUCUGUCCAUACCUUCGCCUCAGAAUAUCAGUUAUUAUGGGAAACUGAAGUUAACCGACUUGAUUGUCAUGGAGUACCGUUAUCCGCCACUUCACCGGGGUAACAAACUAAAGCACACAAACAGAAAAAUAAAUUAAAACACACAAAGAAAAUUAAAAUUGUCCUUUUAUUGAAUUUACCUCAAGCUCCAACUGGAUGUCGUAAACACUUCUCUCAAUGUCUCUGAGUUGGCGUUCUAAACCCUCAACAUAGGCUACUAACUCUGGUGGUUGUAGAGCCCAAAUACGAUGUGUUUUACAAAAUUGAAUUUGCCAUUUGAGAUGAGUUUUGACACGUUGAAGUGGUUUAAGAAUGUUCAGGAGGAACGGUCUAAGUAAGGUACUCAUGAUUAAAAAUGAUAAGAGAAAACUUAAUAGUUUAAACAAACACACUUAUGCAAAAAUAAUUUCAAUUAGCAAAAGAAUAAUAAAAAGAAAGAAAGAAAAAUUAAAUCAACGAAAAGAAAAAACAAAUCAAUUCAAAUCUGGUGGGUCACUCAAAUUUAUUUCGGUGUCUUCUCCAUGUGGUUGGUAUUCUAGAUAUAGCUUUAAUAUUUGACCAUUAACUUUAAACGUGACACCGUUCUUUGGGUCCUUAAUUUCAAUUGCCCCAUGUGGAAAAACAGUAUGAACAAUAAAGGGACCAGACCAUCGAGAGCGUAACUUACCUGGGAAUAGGUGCAAGCGAGAAUUGAAUAAAAGCACUUUCUGACCUGGAGUGAACGAUUUUCUCAUAAUUUGCUUGUCGUGAAAGACUUUCAUUCGUUGCUUGUAAAUCUUGGCAUUUUCAUAUGCGUCAUUGCGAAUUUCUUCAAGUUCUACCAGUUGUAAUCUUCUCUCUGAGCUGGCUUGCUGCAUGUCAAAGUUGAAUUUCUUGAUGGCCCAAUAUGCACGAUGCUCGAGUUCCACAGGUAGGUGGCAAGCUUUUCCAUACACUAGCCUGUAGGGUGACAUCCCAAUCGGGGUCUUGAAAGCCGUUCUAUAUGCCCAUAAUGCAUCAUCAAGUCUUAAUGACCAAUAUUUUCUGUCUGGCCUCACUGUUUUUUCUAAUAUGUGCUUUAUUUCUCGAUUGGAGAUCUCAACUUGGCCACUAGUUUGCGGAUGAUACGGGGUCGCCACUUUGUGUGUGAUUGAAUAUUUUGUCAAAAGAGCUUUGAAUGCUUUGUUACAAAAGUGGGCACCACCAUCACUGAUUAUCGCUCGAGGGAAUCCAAAGCGUGAAACAAUGUUGCUUUUCAAAAAUCCUAUCACCACAUUGUGAUCAUUGGUUCUACAUGGAAUUGCUUCUACCCAUUUCGAGACGUAGUCAACACCAACCAAUAUGUAUUGAUGGCCAAAAGAAGGGGGAAAGGGUCCCAUGAAGUCGAUACCCCAUACGUAAAAAAUCUCAACCACUAAAAUUGGAUUUAGUGGCAUCAUGUUCCUUCGUGUAAUGCUCCCCAUUCGUUGACACCUAUCACAUGAAGAACAGAAAGUGUAAGCGUCUCGAAAUAUAGUUGGCCAAUAGAAACCACAUUGUAAAACUUUAGUCGCUGUUUUCUUAGCACUGAAAUGGCCUCCACAAGCUUGUUCAUGGCAGAAUGAAAGGAUAUUCUGAAUUUCAUUUUCAGGGACACAUCGUCUAACAAUUUGGUCUGCACAAUACUUGAACAAAUAUGGGUCAUCCCAAAAGAAAUUCUUUAUUUCCGCAAAGAAUUUAGCCUUGUCUUGAUUGGUCCAAUGCUCUGAAAGUUUACUUGUAACAAGAUAAUUAACUAUAUCAGCAUACCAAGGUAAUACUUCCACAUUCAUUAAUUGUUCAUCUAGAAAUGACUCAUUCAAUGGUAAUGGUUCCAUAAUUGUAUCAAAAUGGAGGCGAGAGAGAUGGUCAGCUACAACAUUCUCUGUGCUUUUCUUAUCUUUGAAUUCCAAGUCAAAUUCCUGCAAAAGUAACACCCAACGAAUUAGUCUAGCUUUUGCAUCUUUCUUUGUGAGAAGAUAUUUAAGAGCAGCAUGAUCUGUGAAUAUAAUUAUUUUACAACUAAUGAGAUAAGAUCAAAAUUUCUCUAAUGCAAACACUACUGCUAGCAUUUAUUUUUUAGUAGUUGAAUAGUUCAACUGUGCAUCACUCAAUGUCAUACUAGCAUAGUAAAUAAUAUGGGGAAUUCGAUCAACUCUUUGUCCUAAUACUGCUCCUACUGCAUAAUCAGAUGCAUCACACAUGAGCUCAAAUGGUAAGCUCCAGUUUGGGGCCUGAAUGAUGGGUGAUGAUGUCAACAACUGCUUUAAUUUUUCAAAUGCCACAAGACAUGAAUCAUUAAAGAUAAAAGGUACAUCCUUAGCAAGUAGAUUGCAUAAGGGUCUAGAAACUUUGCUAAAAUCUUUAAUGAAACGUCUAUAGAAACCAGCAUGCCCAAGGAAAGAUCUUACUUCUCUGACUGUUUUGGGUGGAGGAAGAUUAGAAAUGAGAUCCACCUUGGCUUUGUCAACCUCAAUACCUUUGCUUGAAAUGAUGUGACCGAGAACAAUACCUUGUUUUACCAUAAAAUGGCACUUCUCCCAAUUCAAGACUAAGUUCUUCUCGGUACAUCUCUGCAGAACUAGCGUUAGAUGAUGUAAACAUUGAUCAAACGAAUCACCAAAGACAGAAAAGUCAUCCAUAAAGACUUCAAGGAAUCGUUCAACCAUAUCAGAAAAAAUGCUUAACAUACAUCGUUGAAAUGUAGCAGGUGCAUUACAUAAUCCAAAUGGCAUUCUCCUAUAUGCAAAUGUGCCAAAAGGGCAAGUGAAAGUAGUUUUCUCUUGAUCUUUUGGUGCUAUGGGAAUCUGAUUAUAUCCUGAAUAGCCAUCUAGAAAGCAAUAAAAUUCAUGGCCUGCUAAUCUAUCAAGCAUUUGAUCAAUAAAUGGUAAAGGAAAAUGGUCUUUACGUGUGACAGAAUUCAACUUUCUAUAAUCAAUGCAUACACGCCAUCCUGUAGUUACUCUAGUUGGUAUUAAUUCAUUAUCAGCAUUGGUAACUACUGUGACUCCUGACUUUUUGGGGACAACUUGUACAGGACUGACCCAUGAACUAUCAGAAAUUGGGUAAAUGAUACCUGCGUCUAAUAGCUUAAGGACUUCUGUUCUAACAACUUCUUUCAUAUUAUGAUUUAAUCGACGUUGCAUUUCCCUAGUAGAUUUAGCAUUUUCAUCAAGGUGAAUGUAAUGCAUGCAAUCUGCAGGGUUUAUACCUUUUAUGUCCGCUAUGGUCCAUCCUAAUGCUCCUUUGUGCUUUUUUAAAACAUCCAACAACUUACCUUUUUGUUCGUCAUUGAGGGAUGAUGAGAUGAUUACCGGCAGAGAACUUUCUUCCCCCAAAAAUGCAUAUUCCAAAGUGUUGGGCAAUGGUUUGAGCUCGAGUUUCGGUGGUGAUUCUGAUGAUGGGAUGAGUUUCUUCUCUAAUGGUGCUAGUUGUUCAACUCUUGACUUCCAUUUAUUAGUGUCCAUGGAUGGUGCUGAGUCAAGUAGGGCGUUGACCUCAUCAACUGAUCUGUCAAUAUCAAAAUCAAAACCAAAGUGAGUUAAGCAUGCCUGUAAAGGAUCAUCACUAAGGUUUGAAAGAAAAGUAUUAUCAACUAUUGUUUCUAUUAAAUCCACAUCAACAAUUCCAUCAUCUGCACUGUGAGGUUGUUUGGCAAUGUUGAAAAUGUUUAGCUCCAUAGUCAUGUUGCCGAAGGACAACUGCAUAUUUUCGGUCCUGCAUUGAACAUGAGCAUCCACAGUUGCCAAGAAAGGUCGGCCUAGAAUAAUAGGGAUGUGCUUCCUUGAAUCAUGUAUUAGUUGAGUGUCAAUUACAAUGAAAUCAACAGGAAAAUAAAACUUGUCUACCUGGAUAAGCACGUCCUCCACAAUACCACGAGGUAUUUUCGUAGACCGAUCUGCAAGCUGUAACACCACUGGAGUUGGGUGUAAUUCUCCCAGUCCAAGUUUCACGAAUACAGAGUAAGGCAACAGAUUUACACUAGCUCCUAAAUCCAACAAAGCAUUCUCAAUUGUGUGGUUCCCUAUACUACAUGAGAUAGUGGGGGAGCCUGGGUCUUUGCAUUUUAAAGGAAUUUUAUGUUGGAGUAUAGAACUAACGUUUUCUGUUAAAAAUGUCUUCUUUUGAACAUGCAUAUUUCUCUUUUUAGUACAAAGGUCUUUAAGAAACUUGGCAUAAGAUGGAACUUGUUUAAUAGCAUCAAGCAAAGGGAUGUUGACACUUACCUGUUUGAAGAUUUCGAGAAUCUCACCUGUGGAUUUUCCUUUCUUUCCUUUCGCUAACCUCUGAGGAAAUAGAGCUUUGGGAACGUAUUCUCGUGGGUUGGUUUCUUCUUUUUCCUCCGGUGGUGAGUCUUCAACACUCACAGGUACAAUUUGAUUUUCUUUUGUCACCGGCAUCUCCUUUUUGUUGUCGACUUCUUUUCCUUUUCGCAAGGUCAUUACUGCUUUGACCUCUCCAUGCUGCUGUGGUGAACUUGUACUUGCUUCAUGUACUCCUUUAGGGUUAGUCACUGGUUGACUUGGAAAUUUACCUUUCUCAACAGUCAUUGCCAAGGUCUGAACUGAAGAAGCGAGUUGUCCCACCAUCUUCUCAAGGCUUGAAACUGAUUGGGCUUGUGAGUUGAAGCCUGCUCUCAACUCAUUUCGUAGUCCAUCAAUGGUGCGGUUCUGUUGCUCAAUCGUGGAGUGAGUAAGAUUCUUGAGAUUCUGGAAUGAAUCCUCCCAUGGUCUGGGUUGAGAGUAAUUCUGGUUCUGAUUGUAUGGUCUAAAUGGGGGCUGAGAGGCUUGAGGAUUUUAAGGAAUUGGUGGAGCUGGAGCUGCUGGUCCAUUUUGUUGGAAUCCUUGAGACCAUGAAAAAUUGGGGUGGUCUCUCCAUCCAGGGUUAUAUGUGUUGGAGUAAGGGUUGUAAUUCGAUGGUUUUCUCAUUACACCUAUGGCAUUGGCUUGAUCUGAGUAUGAGUCAUGGUCAUGUGGCUCUGUUGAUUUAGCAGUCGAUAACGAUGCUAUUUGUCGAGAGAGACCUUCAACCAUCUCCUUGGCUUCUUUGAUUCCCGAAGUUGACUCGCCAAUGUGAACCUCAUUCACUCCUUUAAUCCUUCUAGUAUUCCUGAGUGAUCGACUCCGUUGUUGGGAAUUGUCCGCUUGUCGCUGGAAAAACUCCCAAAUUUCUGAUGCACUUUUUGACAUUAGCUCUCCUCCACUUGUUGCCAUUAGCCAUUCUUGCACAUUCGGCAAUAAUCCCUCCAAAAAGUAUUGGCAUUGGUGCCAUUUCUCGUACCCAUGAUGUGGACACUUCAAGAGUAGUCCAUUGAAUCGCUCCCAAGUUUCGAAAAACUGCUCGUCCUCUCUUUGUGUAAACUCUGAAAUUUCCCUGCGAAUAGAAUUGGUUUUAUGCACUGGGAAAUAUUUAUUUAGAAAUUUUGUAACCAUUUGUUCCCAUGAUGCAAUGCUAUUAGCAGGCAAAGUAUUUAACCAUGAACGAGCUCUAUCCUUUAAAGAAAAUGGGAAUAAUCUAAGCUUUACAUCAUCAUCUGAAAAAUUCUCAUAUUUAAAAGUUUGACAAAUAGCAUGAAAAUCAUUCAGAUGAUUAUAUGGGUCCUCAUUUUCUAGGCCAUAAAAUGUGGGGAGACAAUUUAGCACACUAGGUUUUAAUUCAAAACUCCUAGCAGCUACAUUUGGGUAUCUUAUACAUGAUGUGCUCAAAUUAGCUAAGGGACUAAAAUAAUCCUUAAAUGGCCUCUCCUGUGGUGCUUGUAAAUCCAUUCCAAAUUUAUUAAUGUGCUUUUGUGUGCGAAGUAUUUUCUCAAGUUCAAGGUCUAUAGGUUCAAGAUUAGGUAAUAAUGACCUACGACCAUGCAUGCAAAACAAAUAAAAUAAAAAUAAAGAUGGGAACAAAACAAAUAAAAAUAAAGAAGAGGGAGAAAUUACGAUACUAACCUUAUUGCGCUAUUACAACCUUACUAUAAAAAUACACAAAAAUAAAUAUGUGAAAUAAAUUAACUAAAAAUUAAAUUAAUAAGAUAAACAAAAAUUACAAAGAAAAAUAAAUUAAAAAUUCAAUUACAGAAUUUUAAAGAAGAGAAAAAGAAAAGAAAUACUAACCUUUAAAUGUAGAUUCACUUUUUUUUUAAUAACAAAAAAAUUACACAAACAAUUAAAAGAAAUUAAUCACAAAAAUUAAUUCUACGAAUUAAAAUAACUUACCUCCCCGGCAACGGCACCAAAAAACUUGUUGUGCAAAUUUUAAUGUACUCGCAAGUGCACGAAUCUAUUGUAGUAUAGAUCAAUGGUGACGAGUGUCGAUCCCACGAGGAGGUGGAUUUUAAUUGUGUAUAGAAUUAAUUUUGUAAAUGGGGGAUUGAAUUUGUGGUGGAAAUGAUUUGGAAUAUGCUAAAACUUAAAUUAAAAUGGCGAGAAUAAAUUCUAAAAUUGGAAUUGAAAUGGCGAGAAUAAAUUGAAGAGAAUUCUAUUGAAAUGGUGUACUUGGGUAUCUGGAUCCGUAUCAACAUGCAUCAUGGGCUAAAUAUUCCUUAUUAAUACCAAUUAAAUCAUGAGGGGGGAAUCCACACCUCAUGAACCACGCUCUAAUCAAUAUGGUGCUAAGGGCUUAUCGUGCCAAAUAAUAAUAACCUUAUACUAGAGAGCCGGUGUAACCAAGGCGGUAUCUAGACAAGAUCAGUAUUAUUUGUCGACGAUAAGUCAAAUCAUCCACAAAAAUUAGAGGGGCAGAGAAAGUAAAUUUACCAAAUCAAGCCCAUGACACAUGUUGAGACUUCACCUUCAACCCAAGCUUGAAAGAAAAUUAGCCACUCAUAAUUGAACUAGGGGCAAAAUGGAAAUUUAUUAAAAUACGAAGAAAAUACAAGAUGGAGAGGGAAUUACAGAAAAUGGAUCCCAAAAAUGGAUUCAGAGAUAUCAAAUUAGGGGGGGAGGCCCCCUUUUUAUAGAUACAUGGAGUAAAUCAUGGCCAUCGGAUUAAAAACAGUUUAGACGCUCAGGAUUGCGCCACGUCAUCAGUCAACAGUCCACGGUUUGACCACGCGGAUGAACAGUAACACGGUUUGACCUGGAUGAACAGUACGCGGUUUGGUUGAAAAUAAUCCUGUCUGAUGCAUGCACCGUACGCGAGAUUUUUCGUCCACUGAUAUGCUGCCACGUCACCAUCAACAGUACAUAAGAAUUUUAGUCCAACAGGAUCGUGACACCUCAUCAGUCAAUGCCACAUCAUCGGUCAAUGCCACGUCAUCGAUCCGUCUAUGUGAACAGUGUCGUGAAUAGUAACGUAGAUAGUACCGUAUACGUGAAUAGUACUGUACACGUGAAUAGUGCCAUUUUUCCUUUUAUGCUCCUCCUAAGGUUUUCGACCAUCCUGAGUUCAAAAGUGAUGUUCGUUUUGCCGUCUGAUCUCUCCUUUAUUGUGAAAUGACUAUACUGCCCCUAAAAUACAUAAAAUACUUAAUUAAAAUAACACACACGUAAUUACAUCACAAGAAAGUUAAAUACAUAAAAGUAAGGGUUGUUAGUAAGACUUGAAAUGUAAAAUGAAGGUUUUCUCCUUUAUAAAUAUGCAUUUUCUAACACUCAACACACUCCCCAACCAGCUUAUUGCUAGUCCCUAGUGGUGAGUAUUCCCGCCUGUCACGCGGGUGACCCGGGUUCGAUCCCCGGCAACGGCGCCAAAAACUUGUUGUGCAAAUUUUAAUGUACUCGCAAGUGCACGAAUCUAUUGUAGUAUAGAUCAAUGGUGACGAGUGUCGAUCCCACGAGGAGGUGGAUUUUAAUUGUGUAUAGAAUUAAUUUUGUAAAUGGGGGAUUGAAUUUGUGGUGGAAAUGAUUUGGAAUAUGCUAAAACUUAAAUUAAAAUAGCGAGAAUAAAUUCUAAAAUUGGAAUUGAAAUGACGAGAAUAAAUUGAAGAGAAUUAUAUUGAAAUGAUGUACUUGGGUAUCUGGAUCCGUAUCAACAUGCAUCAUGGGCUAAAUAUUCCUUAUUAAUACCAAUUAAAUCAUGAGGGGGGAAUCCACACCUCAUGAACCACGCUCUAAUCAAUAUGGUGCUAAGGGCUUAUCGUGCCAAAUAAUAAUAACCUUAUACUAGAGAGCCGGUGUAACCAAGGCGGUAUUUAGACAAGAUCAGUAUUAUUUGUCGACGAUAAGUCAAAUCAUCCACAAAAAUUAGAGGGGCAGAGAAAGUAAAUUUACCAAAUCAAGCCCAUGACACAUGUUGAGACUUCACCUUCAACCCAAGCUUGAAAGAAAAUUAGCCACUCAUAAUUGAACUAGGGGCAAAAUGGAAAUUUAUUAAAAUACGAAGAAAAUACAAGAUGGAGAGGGAAUUACAUAAAAUGGAUCCCAAAAAUGGAUUCAGAGAUAUCAAAUUAGGGGGGGAGGCCCCCUUUUUAUAGAUACAUGGAGUAAAUCAUGGCCAUCGGAUUAAAAACAGUUUAGACGCUCAGGAUUGCGCCACGUCAUCAGUCAACAGUCCACGGUUUGACCACGCGGAUGAACAGUAACACGGUUUGACCUGGAUGAACAGUACGCGGUUUGGUUGAAAAUAAUCCUGUCUGAUGCAUGCACCGUACGCGAGAUUUUUCGUCCACUGAUAUGCUGCCACGUCACCAUCAACAGUACAUAAGAAUUUUAGUCCAACAGGAUCGUGACACCUCAUCAGUCAAUGCCACAUCAUCGGUCAAUGCCACGUCAUCGAUCCGUCUAUGUGAACAGUGUCGUGAAUAGUAACGUAGAUAGUACCGUAUACGUGAAUAGUACUGUACACGUGAAUAGUGCCAUUUUUCCUUUUAUGCUCCUCCUAAGGUUUUCGACCAUCCUGAGUUCAAAAGUGAUGUUCGUUUUGCCGUCUGAUCUCUCCUUUAUUGUGAAAUGACUAUACUGCCCCUAAAAUACAUAAAAUACUUAAUUAAAAUAACACACACGUAAUUACAUCACAAGAAGGUUAAAUACAUAAAAGUAAGGGUUGUUAGUAAGACUUGAAAUGUAAAAUGAAGGUUUUCUCCUUUAUAAAUAUGCAUUUUCUAACACUCAACACACUCCCCAACCAGCUUAUUGCUAGUCCCUAGUGGUGAGUAUUCCCGCCUGUCACGCGGGUGACCCGGGUUCGAUCCCCGGCAACGGCGCCAAAAACUUGUUGUGCAAAUUUUAAUGUACUCGCAAGUGCACGAAUCUAUUGUAGUAUAGAUCAAUGGUGACGAGUGUCGAUCCCACGAGGAGGUGGAUUUUAAUUGUGUAUAGAAUUAAUUUUGUAAAUGGGGGAUUGAAUUUGUGGUGGAAAUGAUUUGGAAUAUGCUAAAACUUAAAUUAAAAUAGCGAGAAUAAAUUCUAAAAUUGGAAUUGAAAUGACGAGAAUAAAUUGAAGAGAAUUAUAUUGAAAUGAUGUACUUGGGUAUCUGGAUCCGUAUCAACAUGCAUCAUGGGCUAAAUAUUCCUUAUUAAUACCAAUUAAAUCAUGAGGGGGGAAUCCACACCUCAUGAACCACGCUCUAAUCAAUAUGGUGCUAAGGGCUUAUCGUGCCAAAUAAUAAUAACCUUAUACUAGAGAGCCGGUGUAACCAAGGCGGUAUCUAGACAAGAUCAGUAUUAUUUGUCGACGAUAAGUCAAAUCAUCCACAAAAAUUAGAGGGGCAGAGAAAGUAAAUUUACCAAAUCAAGCCCAUGACACAUGUUGAGACUUCACCUUCAACCCAAGCUUGAAAGAAAAUUAGCCACUCAUAAUUGAACUAGGGGCAAAAUGGAAAUUUAUUAAAAUACGAAGAAAAUACAAGAUGGAGAGGGAAUUACAGAAAAUGGAUCCCAAAAAUGGAUUCAGAGAUAUCAAAUUAGGGGGGGAGGCCCCCUUUUUAUAGAUACAUGGAGUAAAUCAUGGCCAUCGGAUUAAAAACAGUUUAGACGCUCAGGAUUGCGCCACGUCAUCAGUCAACAGUCCACGGUUUGACCACGCGGAUGAACAGUAACACGGUUUGACCUGGAUGAACAGUACGCGGUUUGGUUGAAAAUAAUCCUGUCUGAUGCAUGCACCGUACGCGAGAUUUUUCGUCCACUGAUAUGCUGCCACGUCACCAUCAACAGUACAUAAGAAUUUUAGUCCAACAGGAUCGUGACACCUCAUCAGUCAAUGCCACAUCAUCGGUCCGUCUAUGUGAACAGUGUCGUGAAUAGUAACGUAGACAGUAUCGUAUACGUGAAUAGUACCGUACAUGUGAAUAGUGCCAUUUUUCCUUUUAUGCUCCUCCUAAGGUUUUCGACCAUCCUGAGUUCAAAAGUAAUGUCCGUUUUGCCGUCUGAUCUCUCCUUUAUUGUGAAAUGACUAUACUGCCCCUAAAAUACAUAAAAUACUUAAUUAAAAUAACACACACGUAAUUAUAUCACAAGAAGGUUAAAUACAUAAAAGUAAGGGUUGUUAGUAAGACUUGAAAUGUAAAAUGACGGUUUUCUCCUUUAUAAAUAUGCAUUUUCUAACACUCAACAAGUGUAAACACAUAGGCAGUAGUAGAUUUUCUUUUAUCAAGGUCUCCUGCAAAAUCUAAAUCCACAUAGCCCCUUACAGUAAACUCUGAUCCUCUUUAAUAUAAUGCAACAUCUGAGGUUCCUCUGAUGUAUCUCAGAAUCCUCUUCAUAACUAUCCAAUGCUCUCCACCAGGAUUCACCAUGUAUCGACUGACUGCUCCACUGCUUGUGCAAUGUCUGGUCUUGUACAAAUCAUAGCGAACAUUAAACUUCCCACUGCUGAUGCAUAUGGUACUCGAGACAUCUCAUUUCUCUCUGCUUCAUUGCUAGGACACAUACUUGAGGAUAAUUUGAAAUUAACAGGAAGUGGGGUAUAAAUUGGCUUACAAUCUUGCAUGUUGAAGCCCCGCAAGAUUUUCUUCAAGUAGUUCUUUUGAGAAAGCCAAAUCUUCCUGUUAUUUCUGUCUCGGUGAAUUUGCAUCCCUAGAAUCUUGUUUGCUGGUCCCAAGUUCUUCAUUUCAAACUCCCUAGCCAACUGUGCCUUCAAUUCUUGGAUUCGAUCUUUGUUGGAGCCUGCUACUAACAUAUCAUCCAUAUACAACAGUAAAAUAAUGAAAUCAUUAUCUUUAAACCUUUUGUAAUAUGCACAAUAGUCUUAACUGAGUCUAUUGUAUCCAAGGCUCACAAUGAAUGAAUCAAAUCUCUUAUACCAACAUCUCGGCGCCUGUUUGAGACCGUAUAGAGAUUUGUUCAACCUGCAAACCAAGUUUUCUUUUCCUGUUUCUGCAAAACCUCCUGGUUGGAGCAUAUAUAUUUCUUCUUCAAGUUCUCCAUGAAGAAAUGCAGUUUUCACAUCUAACUGCUCUAAAUCUAGGUCAAAUGUAGCACACAUUGCCAAGACUAUUCUGACUGUUGUGAGUCGAAUUAUCGGAGAAAAUAUCUCGUUGAAGUCAAUACCUUCUUUCUGAGCAUAUUCUUUCACCACCAAUCUUGUAUGAUAUCGCUCCACUUGGUCAUUGCCAUCACGCUUGAUCUUGUAGACCCAUUUAUUUUCAAUAACUUUUCUUCCACGUGGUAGUGGUAUAAGUUCCCAUGUCUUGUUCUUGUGUAGAGGCUCAAUUUCUUCCUGCAUUACUGUCAUCCAUAAAGCAACAUCUGUGUUGCUUAAAGUUUCAUGGAAAGUUGAUGGCUCUCCAUCCUCUGUUAGAAGACAGUAUGCAACAUUGAUCUAUGUGACAUACUCCGAGUGCCAUACUGGCGGUCGUCUCUCACGAGUUGACCGAUGAAAUUCUAGAGCCUCGGACUCGACUGGUUCUUAUUCCUUGUGCUCUAGUGCUGCUUCAGAAGAAUCUGAAUCUUCUGGAUGAUUUUCCACAUAUACCGGCACAGUCUCUGACUUUUCUUUUACAGUGCUAUCAUCCUCAUCUUUUCUUUGCAGUUGAUCUUCUACAAAGAUAACAUCUCUGCUGAUGACGAUCUUGUAGGCAGUGAGGUCCCACAGACGAUACCCUUUACUCUAUCAGCAUAUCCUAAGAAGAUAUACCUCCUAGAUUUUGGAUCCAGCUUUGCUCUUUCUUGGGCAUUGUACAUCACGUACACAUGACAUCCAAAUGCAUGUAGGUAGGAGUAAUCAGCUGGCUUUUCAGUCUACAUCUCCAUCGCUGUCUUCAGCCCAAUAGUUGUAGAUGGGUAGACCAGCAGUCCUCAACAUAGCUCUUAUUCGUUCUGUAAGAAUCCUAUUCAUCCGCUCUGCCACUCCAUUUUGUUGAGGAGUGUAUGCUACCGUGAACUGCCUCUGAAUACCUUCUUGCCUACAAAAAGCAAGAAACUCGCCGCUGUAUAGUCUCCACCAUUAUCCGUCCUCAAGCACUUGAUCUUUUUUCCGGAUUCAAGUUCCAUCCGCACUUUGUAUUCUUUAAACACUAGAAAUACAUAUGACUUUUUCCUAAUUAGAUACACCCAACAUCUCCUAGAAUAAUUAUCAAUGAAAGUCACCAUGUACUUUGCACCUCUCAUAGUCAUAUCCGGCGAUUCCCAAACAUCAUAAUGAAUCAAGUCUAGAAUGCGUUUACUUCUAGCAAUAGAUCUACUGAACUUUAAUAUAUGAUGCUUACUUGUAACACAAUGCUCGCAAAAUGGUAAACGUACCGAUUUAAGUCCUGGAAGCAAUUUUCGCUCAGAGAAAAUCUUCAAAUCUUGUUAUGACAUGUGGUCAAGUUUGAGAUGCCACAUCAUCGUUGACUCUUCUCCAUUUGAUGCAACACAUGCAUCAGCCUCCUGUAAUGUUUCUCCUUUAAGCAUGAAUAGAUUAACACCGAUUUUUUCUGCCUUCAUCAAUACAAGCGCGCCUUUAACGAUCUUCAUAAUUUUAUUCUCCACAUGAGUUUUGUACCCAUGACUAUCCAUUUGUCUCAAAGACAAUAGAUUUUUCUUC